UUUCUGUGAAAUUCUCCCGCUUCCUACAAGUUCAACAAUUCAUCUACCUUGUUCUUAAAAAACCGUCAAGUUCAAUGAUUCCUUUUCUUUGUUUACCCGCAUCUGCGAUUAAGGGUUUUCACCCUUCUACUUUACUCUUUCUGCGAUUAAGGGUUUUCACCCUUCUACUUUACUCUUUCUGCGAUUCACCUGCGACUCCGAUUCACCUUGGUAUGCAUUCACCACAGAUAUCCAUUUAGUCUUCGCGAAGGUGUCCCAACAGCUGUUUCUCAUGGACUACGGCUUAACAUUUUUAGCAAUUGGAGAGUUCCUCCACCUGGAAGACAAAGAGAAUUCAGUCUUACGUUCUAGUUCCCAGUGAAGGAAACAUCCAUUUCAUAUGAGACUCUAAUAAAGUGGACUAAGGGUUUCAGUAUUGAUGAUAUGGUUGGUGAGAUGUGAUGGGAGAACUAACCAAUUCCUUGGAAAAAAUCGGCCUGGAUAUGGGGGCUGCUGCUCUAGUAAGUCUCACUCUCAAACUUCAAUAUGUUGCUUGCAAAUACCAAAACUCCAAGUGUAAUUGUGACUGUUGUGAAAUUAUGGUGAUCUCUCAAACUUCAAUAUUGAAGAUACAAAUCUACUAUUGUGGUUGUGGACCACAAUAAUUUAAAACACUUAAUAGUCAUGUGAGGUCAUAGUUGUACAUAGCACUUGAUUUUGUCACAUUUUGGCAUUUUGUAUAAACUGCCAUUGACCUUUUGUUCAUGUUCUGUUUCUUAUGUGAUGUCUUCUGUUGGCACUGCAGUUUAUUUGAGCUAUUUAGAGGUAUUAUUUUUGUAAUUUAUCAUAUUUAUUGGUUGUCAAUUGCCACUUUUUUCUUUCUAAUCAGGUAUCAAAUUUGCAGAAAUUAGUUUCAAUACUACUAAAGUUAAGGCUUGGAAUGUUGGCGCUACCAUAAGUGAUCUCAAGCUGUUUAACAACUAUAGUAAACAGUAUAUAUAGCUAUGCAGUGGUUGAAAAAAUAUAGAAAGUAUGAUGUGAAGAAGACAAACAGAAUUCUCUCAACAGUCAGGACAACCAUACUUUAUGCCAAUUGGUUACUUAAUUGAUUGAAUAGGAGAAUCACAAAGUAAUAGAACACGCUGAGGAUUGAGAUACGAAAAGGAAAAAGAGAGAAAACUCCAAUUACAUAAAAUUGGUGUUUUGCAUUUGGAUAUUCUCUGUUCCAACGUAACUUGCAAUUGGAAGUUUUGUAUUUAUUGAUGAUAGUAUGAUAGCAGGAUUUAUAAUAGUGAUUUAGUAUAUCUGUUCAACAUUGCAAUGGGUGCUUUCAUGAGUUUGCUUCAUGAUACUUCAAAAAAUGGUCUAUAUUCUUUAUCCUUUUAUUGAUUCAAUAUACUGGUUAUGAUUGAUAUUUUUGUGUGAAUUAGAUAUCAUAACAAGGACAUCAUGGACCUGAAGUUGUCUUCUGAUGGUGCAUACUCAUGUGUCGACGGGAUUCACAAAUCUGUUUCCACAAACUACAAAAUCCGUCCCUCUGAUACUCUCUCCACCAUUGCUGGCUCUGUUUACGGUGUAUGGUGUAUAUAAACUGCCUUUUGAUUGCUGACUAUUGUUAUUCAUUUUACAACACGUGCUUCAAAUUUUCUGAAAUAUGCUUCUGAUUUUGGCUUGCUUGUCCCUAAUGGAAGUUAUGCCAUUACAGUAGGCCAUUGUGAGCAAUGUAGCUGUGGACCCUGAAACUUAAAGGACACAGGAAUUUCCUCCUCUUAUCGCCCUGCCUACAAUUGUUGCAAGAGAAUCACUAUUUGCUCCAGCACCGUCGCUAUCAUCGUUGUUCAAUGGAACUGAUGGGAAAUCACCCAAACCCUCUGUGGUGCCUUCAAACGGAUUUACCCCGUCCCUGGCUAAUGGCCCUGUUAGUGGAAUAUCUUCUGGUGCUUCUGCCGCAUGCCCAUUGGUGAAACCAUUACCCACUUUGACUGUUCCGCUUGUGUUAUUACUUGUCAAGUUGAUGAUCCCUAUAGCAUUGUAAUCUUCUCAAUUUUGUGGUGGGUUUAAUUUCAUUAUGUCUUUGCCACAAGAGCUCCUAUCUAUUGUAGUUUAUAGUAUUCAUUUGUACUUUUUAAUUGAUUAUGAAUCUGGAAAACUAUUGAAUUAUGGGUUUAAUCUUAUGUUUA